rnacentral:rRNA from 1 species
AGAUGCAUGCACUUCUAAUCUAACACCAAGCGAAUCAUCGAGUCUUUGAACGCAAACGGCACCCUUCCAGUCCAUUCCAAAGCGGUGGCGGAGGAUGAAGACAAGGGUAUCUCUGGCUGAGGGUAAUGUA